rnacentral:rRNA from 1 species
AUUGAACGCUGGCGGCAGGCCUAACACAUGCAAGUCGAACGAGUGGCGGACGGGUGAGUAAUGUCUGGGAACUUGCCUGACGGAGGGGGAUAACUACUGGAAACGGUAGCUAAUACCGCAUACCACCGGUUGUGCCCAGAUGGGUUUAGCUAGUAGGUGGGGAAACGGCUAACCUGGGCGACGAUCCCUAGCUGGUCUGAGAGGAUGACCAGCCAAACGGGAAUUGGAACAGGGUCCAGACUCGUACGGUGGGCAGAGGUGGGAAAUAUUGCAAAAUGGGCGAAAGCCUGAUGCAGCCAGGCGGGGUGUAUGAAGAGGGCCUUCGGGUUGUAAAGUACUUUCAGCGGGGGGGCGUUACCCGAAGAGGAGGCACCGGCUAACUCGUUGCCAGCAGCCGCGGUAAAU